GUCGACAUCACAGAAAGGCACUUUUCCUUGCAUGUCGUCGAAAUGUAAAACCUGUGAUUUUGUAGAUUCGACCACUAUUGUUUUGGCACCUAAAUCUGAAUUUCACAUCAAGCACCAUUUCUUGUGUGCCUCCUCCCAUCUCAUCUACUUCAUCUCUUGCAGCAGAUGUGGCAUGCUUUACAUUGGGGAAACUGGAAGAUGUUUAAGGACAAGGUUUGGUGAGCAUUGGCGUGCAGUUAUUGGCAAUGAUGCUAACCAACCUGUUGCCAGACAUUUUAAUAAUGGCAAUCACAGUGUUUCAGAUAUGGUAAUUCGAGCCCUCUGUC